rnacentral:tRNA from 1 species
GGGGCUGGGGCUCAGUGGUAGAGCACUUGCCUAGAACACAUGAGGCCCUGGGUUCAAUCCUCAGCACCA